ensembl:lincRNA
AAAACAUUUCCAAAGUAAGGAGGGCUGUCCUUAUUUUACAGGAUAACAAAGACAUAGAGGGACUUAGGAAUCUACCCACAGUCACACAGCUUACAAAGGCAGGGGCAAGAUGUAAGGCUGGGUUAUAUGUGGCCAAACUUAGCAAGUUAGGAGAGAGACUAAGAGAGAGAGAGAAACAGAGACAGAGAGAGGGAGAGAGGCAGAGGGAGAGAGACAGAGAGAGACAGAGAGCAGUUGUUUCUGAUUUUCAGUUAAAUGACCACCCGUCGCCUGAGCGUGUGCACGUCCCACGCACAUCUCCGCUCCAAGGAUCACCAGACUUCACCUGGGGGCAGUCCUGAGUGGUCCACAUCCUCUCUGGCCCGCUGAACCGUGAGCCCCAUUCUCCCGCAGCCCCCUUCUCACCUGCAGGUGCUCAGGGGAGACUAGCCCCAACCGGCCCCAGGGGACCCCGAGCAGCCCGCCGCUGUGACGUUAAAGAGGGGGCUCCUUUGUGAGGUCAGUGAUUCGCCUCUGCUGCCGUCGGAAAGCCAAGGAGGGGACGCAGCGGGGCUAGCCAUUUCAUUUACAUCUGCAUGGGGCCGGGGCUGAUGCCCCCUGGGGCUGGGUUGAGGGUGGAGGAGCCUAAGGACCCGCCGCCCUCCCCUAGGAGUCUGGGUUUUAUGACCGUGUUUAUCAAAGAGUGAUGCUCCCUGCAUCCCUGCAUGGGGGAGCGAGGCGCCCGCCUCCCUCCUCCCCAGCCGGGGCGCGGGUGCGGACCCACACCUCCUCCCCUUUCAGUCUGCGCGAAAGGGAUUCUCAGCAAAACAGCAGCCCCGCUGCAGAGCAGACUUCGAACAAAGGAGGCAGCGCACAGGGCCUGCGCACAUGGCCUCCCCGAGCAGCACCUGCCGGCGCGAUCUCGGGACCCCGGCACCCCGCUCACCUUUCUGCCAGGGCCGGGAUGUGUCCUGUGAGCUGAGGAUACAGAAUCAAGAAACAACCUGGGGACACACCGAUCUCCCCAAUCUUGAUGAAAGUGAGAAAAUAAAACUUGGGCUACUGCCACCCCAUAAACCUCACUGCUCUGCCGGGCCCUCGGGGCGGAGGGAGCGAGAGAGGGUUUGGGAAGCCGCAGGAGGGGCUGAGGCUGAAUCCUGCCACUCCAGCGCCCCCCCCCACCCCGCUCCCUCGCUCCGUCUUCUCACUAAAAAUCCUUCCAGUGAGCUCUUUGCGUUCUUACCUGUUCCCUUCUCAGUUCAGACUUGGUCUCUGCAUUUCAUGUUGCUUCAUGCCGCUGGAAGACUCCCUGGGUACUGCGCCCUGCGGAGUCCACUUUAUUUUAACUGGGCCUUCUCCACCCCCAGCUUCGAGCAGGGGGAAGUAACCUGCAGACAUCCCGGCGGUGCCGUCAGGAGCAGCCCCAGGCCGGCUCAGGCACUUAUAAAAUGACCUGUGUGGAGGACAGCCCAAUAAAAAGAGCUCUCGCCAGCAUGGGGGUGCACGCCUGUAAUCCCAGCACUCAGGAGGCUGAGGCAGGAGGAUCGUUGCAAGUUCAAGACCAGCCUGGGCUACAAAUUGAGCUCAAAGCCAGCCUGAACUGCACAGUGAGAUCAUCUCAAAAAGACACAAAAAAAAAGAAAAUAAAAAGAGCCCUCCCCGUGCCAUCACCACUUCCCACUUACAGGAAGCACCUGCUUCUUGCAGAAAUGACUGGGCUCAGAUCUAGCAAGGAAAUGCACCAGUUGACCUUGGGAUAAGCAGGAAGUGAAAGUUACCAAGGCUCCUGGGGUGACGUCAGAGGGACUCGGGAGUCCUCCUGCAGUGACUUCCAUCACGCAAAGGCAAGGCAGUCUGACUCUCUGUAGCUGAUGGAAACACAGACAGCAAUCCCGUUAAAACCUACGGCUUUAAACUGAUAUUUUUAAAAUAUUGGCAACCUCUACAGGAUCCAGUGAAACUAACUCAUUUUAAAAACCAGAAAAUAGAGGAGGGAAAAUCCCAAACUACUAAAUGAAUUCUACCUCAGAGCAAUUUUAAAUGAAUAAGAAGAAAGAGGAGGAGAGAGAUGAGAAGAAAAGUUCUUUCAUAAGGACUCUAAUCUUUUUUAAAUGAAGAAGAAAAUAAUAGAUUUAGAAUAUCCCCCGCUUUGAACUCUGUAGUAAAAGGAUGAACUAGAGCAAAGGUUACCAAUGUGGAAGGCUGUUGGGAAACUUUACACAGGAGAGAAUGACCCAACCACAUCUGAAUCAUCUGAUACACUGAUCAACAUUAACAUCCCAGAAAGAGACGCAAGUUGACCUGGUACCUGGUACGAGAUUUAGAAUACAGUGGAGAAUCAAAAAGAGUAAGCAAGUCAUUGGUGAUUGGUUUCCAACUGUUGUCAGUAUUUCAGCUAACUCUGAUAUUGUAAUGUAAAGGGAAUUACUGUGCUGUAUUCAUGGCUAUAUGUAGCAGAAAACAGCACUGUGAUCAAGCAGAUUUUUAUCACAGAAAUGCAAGGAUGGUUCAAUAGUAUUAAACAAUCAUUUCAAAAGGCACACUUAAAACAUUUUACAAAAUUUUUAAUUGUUUCAUGGAAGGAAAUUUUAGGGGACUAGAAAGAGAAGGAAAAUAAUGUAAUGGUUCUAGGUCUCUAACCCAAGAACUGGGUUAUGCUAGACAAACACUA